GCGAACGGGUGAGUAACGCGUAGGUAACCUGCCUUGUAGCGGGGGAUAACUAUUGGAAACGAUAGCUAAUACCGCAUAACAAUGGAUGACACAUGUCAUUUAUUUGAAAGGGGCAAUUGCUCCACUACAAGAUGGACCUGCGUUGUAUUAGCUAGUAGGUGAGGUAACGGCUCACCUAGGCGACGAUACAUAGCCGACCUGAGAGGGUGAUCGGCCACACUGGGACUGAGACACGGCCCAGACUCCUACGGGAGGCAGCAGUAGGGAAUCUUCGGCAAUGGGGGCAACCCUGACCGAGCAACGCCGCGUGAGUGAAGAAGGUUUUCGGAUCGUAAAGCUCUGUUGUAAGUCAAGAACGAGUGUGAGAGUGGAAAGUUCACACUGUGACGGUAGCUUACCAGAAAGGGACGGCUAACUACGUGCCAGCAGCCGCGGUAAUACGUAGGUCCCGAGCGUUGUCCGGAUUUAUUGGGCGUAAAGCGAGCGCAGGCGGUUUGAUAAGUCUGAAGUUAAAGGCUGUGGCUCAACCAUAGUUCGCUUUGGAAACUGUCAAACUUGAGUGCAGAAGGGGAGAGUGGAAUUCCAUGUGUAGCGGUGAAAUGCGUAGAUAUAUGGAGGAACACCGGUGGCGAAAGCGGCUCUCUGGUCUGUAACUGACGCUGAGGCUCGAAAGCGUGGGGAGCGAACAGGAUUAGAUACCCUGGUAGUCCACGCCGUAAACGAUGAGUGCUAGGUGUUGGAUCCUUUCCGGGAUUCAGUGCCGCAGCUAACGCAUUAAGCACUCCGCCUGGGGAGUACGACCGCAAGGUUGAAACUCAAAGGAAUUGACGGGGGCCCGCACAAGCGGUGGAGCAUGUGGUUUAAUUCGAAGCAACGCGAAGAACCUUACCAGGUCUUGACAUCCCGAUGCUAUUUCUAGAGAUAGAAAGUUACUUCGGUACAUCGGUGACAGGUGGUGCAUGGUUGUCGUCAGCUCGUGUCGUGAGAUGUUGGGUUAAGUCCCGCAACGAGCGCAACCCCUAUUGUUAGUUGCCAUCAUUCAGUUGGGCACUCUAGCGAGACUGCCGGUAAUAAACCGGAGGAAGGUGGGGAUGACGUCAAAUCAUCAUGCCCCUUAUGACCUGGGCUACACACGUGCUACAAUGGUUGGUACAACGAGUUGCGAGUCGGUGACGGCAAGCUAAUCUCUUAAAGCCAAUCUCAGUUCGGAUUGUAGGCUGCAACUCGCCUACAUGAAGUCGGAAUCGCUAGUAAUCGCGGAUCAGCACGCCGCGGUGAAUACGUUCCCGGGCCUUGUACACACCGCCCGUCACACCAGCGAGAGUUUGUAACACCCGAAGUCGGUGAGGUAACCUUUGGAGCCAGCCGCCUAAG
rnacentral:rRNA from 1 species